rnacentral:pre_miRNA from 1 species
UGGUCUGCUGCUGGAUGCGUUUGAUGGUUGCCCCCUUGGGGCCCACUACCAGUCCCACCACGCGAUAGGGCAC